GAGCACGUAGGUGGGUUUGUAAGUCAGAUGUGAAAGCCUUCUGUUCAACGGAAGAAUUGCAUCUGAAACUGCGAGUCUUGAGUGUAGGAGGGGAGAAUGGAACUUCUGGUAGAGCGGUGAAAUGCGUAGAUAUCAGAAGGAACUCCGGCGGCGAAAGCGAUUCUCUGGCCUAUUACUGACACUCAGUGUGCGAAAGCUAGGGGAGCAAUCGGGAUUAGAUACCCCGGUAGUCCUAGCCGUAAACGAUGGGCACUAAGUAGAGGGGUUUU
rnacentral:rRNA from 1 species